rnacentral:rRNA from 1 species
AUUGAACGCUGGCGGCAGGCCUAACACAUGCAAGUCGAGCGGAGCGGCGGACGGGUGAGUAAUGCCUAGGAAUCUGCCUGGUAGUGGGGGAUAACGUCCGGAAACGGGCGCUAAUACCGCAUACUAUCAGAUGAGCCUAGGUCGGAUUAGCGAGUUGGUGGGGUAAAGGCAUACCAAGGCGACGAGCCGUACCUGGUCUGAGAGGAUGAUCAGUCAAAUUGGAACUGAGACACGGUCCAAACUCCUACGGGAGGCAGCAUGGGGGAACGUUGGACAAUGGGCGAAAGCCUGAUCCAGCCCUGCCGCGUGUGUGAAGAAGGUCUUCGGAUGUUAAAGCACUUUAAGUUUGGAGGCGUUACCAACAGAAUAAGCACCGGCUAACUUCGUGCCAGCAGCCGCGGUAAUAC